GGGUCAGUAGGUUGGUCAUGCCACUGGUAUGUACUGAUCUUACUGAUUCCUCCUUCCUGAUGAACCGUAAUGCCAUUAAUUUGGUGUUGCGGGGAGACUGGACUGUUACUUUGAAAAAUUAGAGUGUUUAAAGCAGGCUAACGCUUGAAUACAUUAGCAUGGAAUAAUGAAAUAGGACGUUCGAUCCUAUUUUGUUGGUUUCUAGGAUUGACGUAAUGAU
rnacentral:rRNA from 1 species